UCUGGUGCUUCUACCGCGAGGGUCACACCUGUUCCCAUCCCGAACACAGAAGUUAAGCUUCGCAAGGCCGAUGGUAGUACGGUUUGAGUACCGUGCAAGAGUAGGUCA
rnacentral:rRNA from 1 species